rnacentral:rRNA from 1 species
UACGAAGGGUGCAAGCGUUAAUCGGAAUUACUGGGCGUAAAGCGUGCGUAGGCGGUUUCUUAAGUCUGCUGUGAAAGCCCCGGGCUCAACCUGGGAAUGGCGGUGGAUACUGAGGAGCUGGAGUACGGUAGAGGAAGGUGGAAUUCCCGGUGUAGCGGUGAAAUGCGUAGAGAUCGGGAGGAACAUCAGUGGCGAAGGCAGCUCGCUGGAACGGUACUGACGCUGAGGCGCGAAAGCGUGGGGAGCGAACAGG